rnacentral:lncRNA from 1 species
AGACUCACAUGCAGAUUCCCUGGCCUGCAAGCUUAGGGUACGAAGGACAGACUUUGCCUCAGACCAGCCCAAGUGAGAGAUUUAACUGAAAUUGUCAGAAGAAAGACUAAAAUCCAUAGAGCCACAGAGAAUGAAGGCAAUCAUGAGAGAAAUGAGGAUACGAAAGAGCAUGAAGGGAAAUCAGAUACUAAAUGCUGCUGGAACAAUGAAAAGGAAGAACGGAGGUCACAAAAAGCAUUUUCAUUUGAUGAAAAAAACUAAAAUAGUAAAGCAAUCAAAAGCUCAACACAACACGGGAGGGAUCCGUGGCUGAGGAUUGUAUUUCAGAACUGCUGACUGCUCUUGACAAUUGUUAACCCACUAGGCUCCUUUGGUUAGAGAAGCCACAGUCCUUCAGCCUCCACUUGAUAUCAGUACUUAGGAAGACCAAAGCCAGAUUGACAAACAGCAUUGAGAGGCUUUAGCCCUACCCCUCUCAGCUUCCAUCCUGUAGAGAACAGGAGUCAGGAGCUGCUGGCAGGACACAGCAUGUCACACGGGACUCUGCCGGUGCAGAAUAUGAACAAUGCCAUGUUCUUGCUAAAAAUGCUUAGCUUGAGUUUCAUAGGAGGUAAUCAUCAGACAGACAACUGCAGAAUGUAGAACACUGAGCAGGACAACUGUCCUUCACACAGUCCAUGUCACCACGAAUCACACAAUAAAAAGGAGAAAGACAUUUUGGGUUCAAAAAAAGUAAAAAGAUAAUGUAGCUACAUUUCUUUAGUUAUUUUGAACCCAAGGUAUCUCCUUAUCUUGUUGUUGUUGUCAUUGAUGCUAGGGACAUAGACUUGUUCGUAGAGGACAGGUCAGCUGUCUGGCUCAAUGUUCUACAUUUUGAAGUUGUCCAGAAUGUCCUUAUGAUUAAAUUCAGCCUAAACGUUUUGCCAGGAACACUGCAGAGUCACUACUGAGAGUUUCCUACCUCAGCCCAUCUGCAGGCAGAGAAGGUCCAGUUUGCCCAUCACCAUUAUCGUGAUACUAGGACUGGUCACUUGGUUAAGGAGGAAUCUAGGAGACCUGUCCCUUUUAGAGACACCUUAUUUUAAUGAAGUAGUUGGGAAAGUGGUUUUUAAAAGUAUAAAUGUCCUGUAUUCUAAUGAUCAUCUUCUAAAUAUUUUAUCAUUCACUAAUCAUCCCUGCCUGUGUCAAUUAUUAUAUUCAUAUCUCUACACUGGAAAUUUUCUAUUUCAGUUUUUACUAUAUCCUUAUUUUUGCUAGUUUCUGUUGUUGGAAAAAAACAUUUCCUGCCUGGGUUUUAAUUUUUGUCCAAAGUUAACUUUGGACUGGCGAAUUGUUUUUUACAUUCAGUGUUAUGAUCUUUUAUUAUGUUGAUUGGUUUUGGUAGGUAAUGAUGUGAAUUAAUAAAAACAUUUUUAUUUCCGUG